GCUCCGGUAGCUCAGUAGGUAGAGCGCAUGCCUGUUAAGCAUGAAGUCGCAGGUUCGAGUCCUGCCCGGAGCG
rnacentral:tRNA from 2 species